rnacentral:rRNA from 1 species
GACGAACGCUGGCGGCGUGCUUAACACAUGCAAGUCGAGCGGUAAGGCCCUUUCGGGGGUACACGAGCGGCGAACGGGUGAGUAACACGUGGGUGACCUGCCCUCAGCUCUGGGAUAAGCCUGGGAAACCGGGCCUAAUACCGGAUAUGACUCCAUGACGCAUGUUGUGGGGUGGAAAGCCUUGUGCGGCUGAGGAUGGGCCCGCGGCCUAUCAGCUUGUUGGUGGGGUGAUGGCCUACCAAGGCGACGACGGGUAGCCGGCCUGAGAGGGCGACCGGCCACACUGGGACUGAGACACGGCCCAGACUCCUACGGGAGGCAGCAGUGGGGAAUCUUGCGCAAUGGGCGAAAGCCUGACGCAGCGACGCCGCGUGAGGGAUGACGGCCUGG